rnacentral:tRNA from 1 species
GGCCUUGAUGACCAGCCGGGGGGCAUGGGUCCAUGCCUGCUGUGCAUGGGUAGCGGCGAUCCACAACACGAUCGCGUCGGUCGUCUCGGUGCUGGGCAG